rnacentral:rRNA from 1 species
ACUGCGGAAGGAUCAUUAUUGAAAUAUUGUAAAGGAAAGUUGAGCUGGCUCUUCACGAGCAAGUGCUUGCUUUUCUUUCAAUCUUCAUCCACCUGUGCACCUUUUGUAGAGAGAUUUUUGAGAACAGGGCCUCGUGUCCCAAGUAUCAAGGACUUUCUCUAUGUCUUUACAAACUCAAUGUAUGUGUUUGAAUGYCUUGUAUAAGGGCCUUCAUUGACCCUUUUAAAAAUAUACAACUUUCAGCAACGGAUCUCUUGGCUCUCGCAUCGAUGAAGAACGCAGCGAAAUGCGAUAAGUAAUGUGAAUUGCAGAAUUCAGUGAAUCAUCGAAUCUUUGAACGCACCUUGCGCCUCUUGGUAUUCCGAGAGGCAUGCCUGUUUGAGCGUCAUUAAAUUCUCAACCUUAAAAGCUUUUUGUUUUUGAGGCUUGGAUGUGGAGGCUUUGCCGGCUUUGUCCAGAGCCAGCUCCUCUUAAAUGCAUUAGUGGAAACUGUUUGUAGUAUCCCCACAUUGGUGUGAUAAUUAUCAGCGCUACUGUGGCUACAAGCUCCUUGUAGUGUUCGUUUGGGAAGCUGCGCUUUCAAGUGCUCUUUCUGCUUACAUGACCUGCAACUGAGUAUAGUAUCCGCUUCAAACUGUCUUGCUUCCAAGACAAUACUUGAUCAUUUUGGCCUCAAAUCAGGUAGGACUACCCGCUGAACUUAAGCAUAUCAU